rnacentral:lncRNA from 1 species
AUAGUUAUGUGAAUGAUCCUUUGACCUACGAUGGUAUGACUGAUCAUAAUGAGGCUACUACAGUUUGACUGACACAUAAAUAUAGCCUCAUUGAGAUCUUGUAGUGGAUAUUAGUGAUAGUUGGUCUAUUAUAGGAGUAGGAUGUGUAUUUAAAUAGAAUCUAUUAACUUUGAUUGAGAAAAGUAGUCCUAUAGGAUUUGAGAGGCUAAGUCUGAGAGUCUGUAGCCAUAGCAGUG